rnacentral:rRNA from 1 species
GACGAACGCUGGCGGCGUGCUUAACACAUGCAAGUCGAACGACGUGGCGAACGGGUGAGUAACGCGUAAUCCACCUGCCCUUCAGAGGGGGACAACAGUUGGAAACGACUGCUAAUACAUCAUACGGAAGGAGGGGAUUGCGUCAGAUUAGCUAGUUGGCGGGGUAACGGCCCACCAAGGCCAUGAUGAGUAGCCGGUCUGAGAGGAUGAACGGCCACAUGGGGACUGAUACACGGCCCAGACUCCUACGGGAGGCAGCAGUGGGGAAUCUUCCGCAAUGGGCGAAAGUCUGACGGAGCAACGCCGCGGGGGUGAUGACGGCCUUCGGGUUGUAAAGCUCUGUUAAUCGGGACGCGGUACCGGAAGAGAAAGCCACGGCUAACUACGUGCCAGCAGCCGCGGUAAUAC